rnacentral:rRNA from 1 species
CCCUUAGAUGUUCUGGGCCGCACGCGCGCUACACUGAUGCAUUCAACGAGUCUAAAACCUGCUCUGAUAGGGGUGGGUAAUCUUUUGAAUGUGCAUCGUGAUUGGGAUAGAUGAUUGCAAUUUUUCAUCUUCAACGAGGAAUGCCUAGUAAACGCAAGUCAUCAGCUUGCAUUGAUUACGUCCCUGCCCUUUGUACACACCGCCCGUCGCUCCUACCGAUUGAAUGAUCCGAUGAAUAUCAUGGAUUGAGGAUGCAAGUAGGUUCGCCCAUCUUCAUCUUCGAGAAGUGAAGUAAAUCUUAUCAUUUAGAGGAAGGAGAAGUCGUAACA